GCGUUUAAGCGGCCGCAAAUCGCCGCCAACGAAGAAGAACGAGGCAGCGAUUAAAACAUUCGUUUAUAAAAAAAAAUUUAAUCUUUAAGUUUGCAGCUCGUGACAGUGUUUCUGCCUCAAUGGAACUAAUUUAGUCUAAAUUUAUACGUACAUUACAGGGCGCUGCAUUUAGUCAAACCUUUUAUCUGGCUCUUGUUAGUGUGUUAGCCAAAGAUAAACAACAUCAAAAGAUCAGCUAGCUAAGCCACUAGCUGUCGUUAGCUCGCCGUUAAGUCAGCUUUCGUCGGGAAUUUCGACGCCGUGUCGUUUUGUCAGUUUUAGUGAUAGUAUCGUGUAUCAUUAAGGAACGCAAACAUGUCGGAUGAUUAUGAAUUCAGCGACGAUACGACUAUGAUGAGAAUGGAGGAGGACGGAGAGGCGAACAGCGACGACCCGAUGUCCGCGGCCGGGGACAGUGGCCUGAUGGGGGGCGAGGCCGAGGGAUCCAGAAUCGACGCCAGCAAGAACGAGGAGGACGAAGGGAAGAUGUUUGUCGGGGGGCUCAGCUGGGACACGACCAAGAAGGACCUGAAAGAUUACUUCUCAAAGUUCGGGGAGGUGGUGGACUGCACUCUGAAGCUGGACCCCAUGACCGGACGCUCGAGAGGUUUCGGCUUUGUGCUCUUCAAAGAGCCAGACAGUGUCGAUAAGGUUGUCUCGCAAAAGGAACAUAAACUCAACGGGAAGGUCAUUGACCCCAAAAGAGCCAAGGCCAUGAAGAGCAAAGAGCCUGUGAAGAAGAUCUUUGUGGGCGGCCUCUCUCCAGACACUCCUGAAGAGAAAGUCCGAGAGUACUUUGAUGCCUUCGGAGAGGUGGAGUCGAUUGAACUUCCCAUGGAGAACAAAACAAACAAAAGGAGAGGCUUCUGCUUCAUCACGUUCAAAGAGGAGGAACCGGUAAAGUUGAUCAUGGAGAAAAAGUACCACAACAUUGGAUUAAGUAAGUGUGAGAUAAAGGUGGCGAUGUCUAAAGAGCAGUACCAGCAGCAGCAGUACUGGGGAGGCAGAGGUGGAUACUCAUCCGGGUCGCGAGGAAGAGGUGGUCCCAAUCAGAAUUGGAACCAAGGUUAUGGCAACUACUGGAAUCAAGGCUACGGAAAUUAUGGCAACUAUGGUUACAAUAACCAAGGGUAUGGAGGAUAUGGUGGAUGUGAUUACUCUGGUUACAACAACUACUACGGAUACGGUGACUACGACACAGAUCAAUCUGGUGGAUAUGGCAAGUCGCCACGGCGCAUCGGUCACACCAACAGUUACAAGCCAUAUUAAUGGGAGAAACCCUCAUCGUCAAGUAGCGGAGCUUCCUUGCAGGCCAUGAGCUGACUCCCAGAUACUCUCAGGGCCCGCUCAAUGCGGACUGGGUACGAGAAGCAUACGCUCUCGAUUGCUGCCAUUUGGUUUCAGAGUGAUGAAAGUCUCCAGUUCACUGGCGGUUCAUUGGCCAAAGAGAUGAUGGUAUCCAGCAAAGGUCACAUAAUUGAUUGUAAGAAAGUAUAUGAAGAACACUAUGACCUACGUUCUAUUUCCUCUAUAUAUUUACCAGAGUAUUUGUUGUAUCCUAAAAGUUUUGGAUUUGAAUGUUUUGCAUUCAUUUAGUUUGCUGCAAAGUUUUAGCAGUUCCUCGUUCCUUUCUGCUUUUGUAUUUAAUGUUGUCUAUUAAUAUUUGUGAAUUGCUUGAGUUAUCCCAUAGCUGAGAGUUUAGAUUGGUCGGAGCAGAUCAUGCAUAUAUUCACGUAUAGUGGCAGCAGAGAUAAAAGUGCUUUGUUAUGCCAGUAUGUUCUGUUUAUCAUAGGCAUCAGUCAUAUAUUACAUUUAUUACAGAGUUUGACAGUCAUUAACAUACAGUAUAUAUAUAUAUAUAUAUAUACACACACAGUGUCUUGGACAUAAAGAAAUGUGACAAAUAAAAUAAUAAACACUUUUUUGGA